GAUGAACGCUGGCGGCGUGCUUAACACAUGCAAGUCGAACGGGAAACCUUUUAAUGAAGCUUCGGCAGAUUUAGCUGGUUUCUAGUGGCGGACGGGUGAGUAACGCGUGGGUAACCUGCCUUAUACAGGGGGAUAACAGUCAGAAAUGACUGCUAAUACCGCAUAAGCGCACAGGACCGCAUGGUCCGGUGUGAAAAACUCCGGUGGUAUAAGAUGGACCCGCGUUGGAUUAGCUUGUUGGUGGGGUAACGGCUCACCAAGGCGACGAUCCAUAGCCGGCCUGAGAGGGUGAACGGCCACAUUGGGACUGAGACACGGCCCAGACGCCUACGGGAGGCAGCAGUGGGGAAUAUUGCACAAUGGGGGAAACCCUGAUGCAGCGACGCCGCGUGAAGGAAGAAGUAUCUCGGUAUGUAAACUGCUAUCAGCAGGGAAGAUAGUGACGGUACCUGACUAAGAAGCCCCGGCUAACUACGU
rnacentral:rRNA from 1 species